GACCCCCUUUCUGUUCGCGUUUUUCUUCUUCUGCUAGGGCUCGCGACCACCGGCGGCGUCCCCUUCCUCCUUUCUUCUCCUCACCACCGGCCGGCGGCAUCUUUUCUUUCCUUGCCGCCGGCCGGCCAACUCUUUCUACUUUCUUCUCUUCUCAUCACUGUGCGCGUCUCUUCCCCGCACGCCGACGCCCCCUUUCCAUUUCUUCGCACGAUCUUCUCCGAUCCGACGACGACAACAACUCCGGCGGCCUCUGUGAGCGACGGCGACCUCAUCUUGGUGUUAUCUGACGGCGUAGUGUUCUCCUCCGGCGGUGAGUUCCCUUGUCUCUCGACCUUGUGCCGGCAGCCGACAUCUAGGGCUUCGGAGUGGUUUUCUUCCAGUGAGGCGUUUCCUCUCCGGUCCUACUGCAGAAGAUUCCCUCGCGGUUGUGGGUUGUAGAAGGAGGGAGUUUCCGGCGGCUACACCAACCUUCAUCCCAAUUUCCGGCAGAACUCACUCACUGUGUGCUGUGGAGAUUUUCUGUGGAUGGCGUUCCGAAGCAGAAGAAUCAUCCAUUUCAUUGAGCAAUUCCAUUCCAAUUUCAAUCGGACACUACACUUCACCAUUCGUGAUCAGCGGUUAGUCAUGUGUUGCUGUCCACCUGUUAUGGUGUUCCAGAUCUGGGUCUCCGUGUGACGACGGAGGUAGUCGAUUGGUGGUUGAUCACAAGAAGAGUGCUUAAUGCAAUCAUUUUCCAAGUUUAAUCCUUUGAACAGCAAUAUGAAAUUAUGGAAUUGGACACUGUAGAUGGAGAUUUUCAUACAGGAAAUUCAGAGUGUAACUUCACUCAAACCAUUAGGGAACAUGUGUAGAAGGGAAGACUUUAGAAUGAUCCAUAAGUUAAUGAAGUUUACUUGAUAAACGUGUGAACCAUUUGAAGUUGAAAUUGGAAAGGGCAGUGGAGAGGUUGAGAAAUUGUGUCAAAUGAGUACCAAAAUUUUGGAGCAGCACUAAGUCAUUGAAAAACUCAAGUGGAGCUCUUGUACUUUUAGUAACAAAUGGUAUGAUGUCUUACCAUGACCUCCAUGAAUUAUAUAUCUGAAUUUUAGAAGCUUGGAAUUAUUGAAACAGUGAAGGGAAAUUCAGAAACUGUGAAUUACUGAAACUGAAGUUAGAAAACUGUGGGUGACAGUGAGCAUGUAGUGCUACGAAGCAUGAAACUGGAAGCUGCUGUAAUGAGAAGUAAUUUGUUGCAAAUCAGAUAAAGUUUGGCGGUUUCAAUUUGGAAUCAAGUUGGAAUUUUCUCUGUCAUCUUUUGCUAUUAAAUCUUUAAAACUCCAUCGAGCUUAAUCCCAUAUCUAAUCUGAUCUCAGAAAAAAAAAACUCUGUCAGCAGAGUUUGUCAAGGCAGAAUUUGGUGCCAAAAUGUUUAUGUUAUUUUUGGAUAGUAAUAAUCUUACCAAGUGUUUCAGUUCAUGAUGGAGAACAGUGGCAAAAAGGGAGCAAGAGCUGAAUGAAUGGCAGUCUUUGACAAUGACAAUUUCAAUUAAAGCUCAACUUCUGCACGACUCAAUGCCUGCAACUUCUUUGGACCUGAUUUCUCAGCUGUGAUUCUGAAACUUGUUGAGCUAAGUUCAUUAAAAAUUAUUGAUGGAAUGCAUACUCUUCUUGCUGAUGCUGAGGAAACUCAGGAAUAAAUUGCAUUACAUAAAACAUAAUCUGUAUCAACUCUUGUCUGCCACAUAGCUCUUGUGAUUCUUAAAUCAGUGAAAUGCUCAAAAAUCAGGUUUUGAUGCUGGAAGAGUGAAAAGAUAUAUUAGAUUGAAGAGAUGAUGGAUUUUCAGAAAUGAAGAGAGAAUUGUUUAAGAGAUGAUGAAUUAUAUCUCUCAUUAGCAAAUAGUGAAGAUUAAAAUGUGAGUUUUACAUGGAUAGAUGUGUAUGUUAUGGACAGAUAAUAAAAAUUCUGAAACUGAAGAUUGAAGUAGCAAGGUUUAGGAAUCAGUUUAAUGUCUGAAAUUUUCAGAAUUGUUUAUACACCUGUUUCCUGGAGUUCUAAAUUACAGAAACUUCCUAAGCAGAGUAUGGAAUUGAUUUCCAAAUGGCUGGAACUAUUUUACUGAUUUUAAAUCUUUGAGAUCGAAAGUCCUAAAUCUGAAACCUGUUGUUGCUGUAAGUUGAUUUUCUGAAUUCUAAAAAUCAGUGUAUUAAAUUCUUAUCAGCAGUUUUUGAAAUUAGUGAGACAGUCACGUGAAGCCUUGGAAAUUUCAGAAACGGAAGCAAAAACAGUGAGAAUUGCAACUGUUGGUUAUCUGAUCAUUAUGGAUCAAGAUUUAAAAUUUAAUUGAUGAGUACCAUUCCACUCAUGAAGCGGUUCAGAAGGUAAUAUGAAUUCUGAGAAUUUGAAGUUGGAAGCUGCAAUUGGGAGUUAGGUUCAGAAAUGCAAUGCAGUAAGGCAGCACAGGAAUUCAGUUUUAGGUGUUGUAUCAAAUGUGUAUCAAUUUUUAUCACCAGCUCUCAAAUAGUGAGGAAAAAUAGAGGAGCUUUGGCAUUCAUAGUAACAAAUGGAGUUCAUUUAUUUCCAUGUUUUCUGCAAUUGGAUGGAAUUGAUUUAUGAUUUCUGAAAUACUCAAAUUGCUGAAAUGAAUUCUGCUGGAAGCCGCUGUUUGCUUUUAAAUGGUUGAAAAUAGUUCUGUUUGGUUGCUUUAAUGCAACAAAAUGAAAUAAUCUUAUCUUCCAGCUAACCAAGGGAUGAGUUCUAAUUACAAAAGAGGGAAACAGUAAGAAAUGCAGCUGGAAGUGAAGCUGAAAACCAUAAUUCUGAAACUGAAUUCUGUUUUCAAGAAAGUUCAGUUUUGUGCCAAAGUUUUCUUGAUGUUUCUAAUCUGAAAUGAAUGGAAUUCAAUCUCCUCUUGAUUCAAUAUCAAAUGAGCUAUCUUCCAAAGCUAAACUUGCUGAAAAUUUUACUAAAAUGACCUUGUAUCAAAAUCUUGAGACUGCAAGGUAGAUUCAGAAUUGAAACUACAGUCUUAUUUUAAAAUUUCUAUUUGGGCCUGAUUUUUCUUUGUAUUUAGCUAUGAAUUCAUUCCAUUGGAUUCUUAGUUUCUGGAACAAGUAGUAAAGUGAAUUAUAAGAUGCUAGAGUUGAAGGAAUUAGCUGGGACUGAAGUUGAUAACCCAACUAAUACUAUCUCAGUGCAGAAAUGGUAUCAGUAUGAAAUGCUGUUUUUAUUGGAGAACAAAUCUGCUGUUUCCUUAACUACACUAAACAUAGGAAAACAUCUUUGAGCUGAGUGAGAAACAAGUGCUAAAGGCAAAUGAAGAAACAGAUUUUAAAAGCUAUUAUUGGGAGUUAUAUUCACAAAGCAGUAAAGGCAUUAAGUUGAAAGACAGAAUUCAGUUUUCGAGUUGUAUCAAUUGCGUACCAAUCUUUUAUCACCAUCUUUCAAAAUAGUGAGGCAGAACAAUUAAACUCUUGUAUUAUCUGUAACAAAUGGUUUUCAUCUCUUUCUAUGACUCCUCAAAAUGUAUGGAAUUAAUAGAGGAUUUAUGAAACUCUCAAGCUGCUGAAAUGCAGAAACAGUGAUGUGUUAGAGCUACUGGUAACUUGAUCAAGAAUAAAAAUUUGAACUAUAAUUGGGGAGUACCAUUCUAUUCAUGAAGCACUUCAAGAUGGUAUCAUAAACUUAAGUGCAGCUGCAAAUAAGAAUGGAUCAAGGAACUGAAACUGUAACAGAAAUGAAAGGCUGCUGGAAUUGAGCUGCACAUUGCUACUGCAUGGAAGUCAGAAGCUAAUCACAUUUAUUAAGAGACAUAUGUUGUAGAAGAGAUUUGGGAAUGUUAAGGAAAUCAAAUGAAGCUUAAUCUGAAAUAAGAACUCUUGUGAAAUAUAGUGGGUUGUGGGGAGUUUGUAUCAAAGUUGUAUCACAAUUCAAGAGUAGAAUUCAAAUCAGUUAUGAUCUCAAGUGAAACUCUAUUAAUUUCAGUAACAAAUGGUUUCUCAUUUCAUUCCAUGGCUUUUCAAACUGAAUUUUGUAGAAACUAGAAGCAUCAAGUAUAUGAAAAUAGAAGAUUUGAAGCUGCAGAAUUAGUGGUUGACAUGCUGGAAAUCUGAAUAGUAUGGAUCAAGAUUCAAAAUUGAUUUAAUAGAGUAGACUGUUAGAGAGUUGCUGAUAUGCAUAUAUGAAGUACUAAUGGUAAUUGAAAGGAAGUUAAUGGAAGUAACUCGAACUCUGAACUCUAAAAUUUGUCAAAACAGAAUAGCAGUGAGUAAUUUUAAGUAGAGAACUUGACUUCCACAGCUAUUUGAUGUUUCAACACGCUCAACUAUGCUUUAGUUUAAUUCUUUCUUACCAAUGAAGUGCAAAUGAGGAAACAAAAUUUCGGAAUUGAAACGAGUGACAGAAAUGCUGGAAUGCAGUUUGGACUUUGAAAGAGUUGUACCAAUCAGUGAAAAUGAUACUCUGAGCUGAGAUAAGUAAAUUUUAGUUCUUGUUAAUUGCUUGCUAAAUGAAGAAUCAACCUGGGAAUUCUGUAACUCUGAAAACAAGUUGUGACAGUUCUCUUACAAGUAAUUUUCAGAAAUCAGGUUUGUGAUGAAUUUUGGGAGGUUGCUGGAUGGUGCACCAGUGAAGAAAUUGUGAGAAGUUUAUUAGCUGCUUAUUAUAGUGUUACUGUUGAUUUGAAGGGAGUUCUGAUUUUCCAGAAAUUAAAAGAAUUAGAAACUGAUAGAGCUCUAGAUAGAAGACCAAUGAAGUUGUAAAAUGAGGUAUCGGCAGCAACAAGCUUGUUCUGAGAUGAUCAGAAAUAGUAUCAAAUCUGCAUAUUUGAAACUGUUUUAUUAACUUAGAGUAAUAUUAUUGAGUUUUAUUGCUUGAGAUGAUCAAAGUUUUAAGUGUGUGUUUGACAUUUGGUGAGCUUCUUUGAAUGUGAUUUCUGAAUUAAUUGUAUUGUGUGAUUGGAACUUUUGGUACUGGAUGGAAAUUCAUUUUUAAGCAAGUUUGAUGAAUGCUCAAGAAGGUAGUAGUAGCAAGUUUUGGAAGAUUACAUGAGUUGAGUUUUCAAGUUACAAGCUGAAUUUGUUCAGGAAAUUUUUCACUUUGAAGUUGGAUCCGAAUUUUGGAAGAAUAUUGAAGGCUAUUUAGUUUGGAUAACUACAUAUAAAGUAAAGAUCAAGGCUUGAUCAGAGAAAAAGGUGGAACAGAACUGAAAUCUUUUCACUUAACAGAUUUUGUGCCAAGUUGUUAAAUUGUGUUUUGGAUUUAAUAUGAACUGAAUUUAAGCUGCUAAUUACUGGGUACUAAAUGAGAAAGGUUAUAGAGCUUAAAUUUCAAAGAUUGAACUGAAAGUUUUGGGGAAUAGCAGAAAUUGGAGAUGAAGUUUGAAACUUAGAUGAAGAAGUGCAUGAGGCUGAAAUCUGUUUAGUAUGUAGGAGCUGUAGUAACUUGAUCAGAUUGUUUCUAAUCUGAAAUGAAUUGAGAACAAGUUUCAGCCAAUGGAGUGUAAAACGAAACUUUUACAGAGACCCAAUUCUUCAAGAUUCAAACCCAGACACUUUGCCAUUCAAAAUUCAAAAAUAACAAAUGCAAAAUCAGCUCACUUCUUUGAAAUUCUGGAAUUUAUUACAUUGUUAUGGAUUGAAAAGAAGCUGAAUUUGGGAAAUAAUUAUUGAGCAUUGGAGAGUAAAUCAGAAAGAAGGGACGAUAGUUGAGCAUGGUCAAGAAGUUCAUCUAUAUAGCAUUCUUUAGUGUCCAUGUCUUCCAUUAUACCUUUGAAUUGUAUUUUCCUUAUUUUUUUUCUUAUACAAAUUCUCAUUUGAUUUGAUUCAUGCUUUCUUUGCCAUCAUUAUAAACCUUCAUAAUUAUGUGUUAUAAUGCUUUGGAUAGUGGUUAAGAGUAAAAAAUAAGCAAGCUUAUGGUAGUGAAUGAAACAUAAGUAGCUUGAGUGAUCUCCACUAUUGGUUACAUUUGAGAUUAGGAUGAGAGCCACAAAACUUACCUUGUGAGAUUUAGCUGUGAAAUCAUUCUCAGUGCAAUCAGUUUGGAUUGAAGUCAUUAUGUAGUUAACCAAGGUAAGAUUUGAGUCCAUGAAUGCUUGAAUUGUUGAAACUUGACAAUCCUAGGUAACUUGUUUUAAUUAUUUUCUAAAUAUGAAUGAGAAUUAUUAGAGGGUACAACUUUAGUUGUUUCUUAAGUUUUGUUCAUUCGCACGAGAUGUGCAAGAAUAAGUGUGGGGAAUUUGAUAACUCAUUUAUCUGGCAUAUUCUUUUGAGUUGAUAUUGGGGUUAUUGGAUUUAAUUGCAUGUGUUAGUAUACAAUUUUUAUCAUACAUGUAUGUGGAUGAUUAUUUUGAGCUUAAGUGCAUUUCUCUUUUAAUUCAUGAUAUUUUCUCACAAUUUGAUGCUUGUUUUGUAAUUUGAUGCUUGUUUUGUAUGACACUUAAAUUGACUCCAAGUGGUGCAUGAUCAUGGGUCAAUAAGUGGUUCAUCUAACCAAAUGAAGAAGCUCAAACUCAAUUUGAUUCAACCCAUUCCAAGGAGCUUAACCUAAGUCAAACUCACCUCACCAAAACCCUAAAUUCCCCACUAAACCAAACCUAAACCCAACCCAAAGUCCGGUUCAAAAUCUAGUAUAAAAACCCAGAUUUCGCGGAUGAACAGUGCUUGUGCUACUGUUCAUCCGUGACAUCUUCUUCAUCGCGCGCCCCUUCUCCACUUCUAGAUCCAUCUUCCGGUCAACUUCAUCGGCGACGAGGUUCCCAGCUACUGGCGAUCAGCUUCCGUCCAUCUGAGCUCGCUUAAAGGCGUUCCUGCGGCGACAAUUCGACUCUGGAUGCUCUGUUUCCGUCGAUGAACAGAGGCGUUCCUCCGUUUUAGCGAUUUCACCCACAGCAGUGUCCUCGGCGGCAUUACUCCUGUCCCGAUGACAUCCCAUUCUCUAACAGUGCCUCAUCAGAUCAGAACUACAGAGUUUCAUAAUUGGCAGUUUGUUCUUCACAACUUCGCAGAGAGGGUUUCUUUGCGCGAUUGCUGGUGAGAUCGAACUGAGUUUAGUUGCUGAGAUCUUCUUCGAUUGUCGAAGUGAGGUUUCACCGAGCUUCCUUGUGUGACGGCAAGGAGAAGUUUCUGUGUAGAGUGGUUUGGUGUGGAGAUGGUUUAGGUUUUAUUUUUGCAUUCUUUUUAUUGUUGAUAGAUUUAGAUUUCAAUUUGUAUUAUUUGGAUUCAGUAAUCAAAGUUCUUUUUAGCUUAA